AUGAUUGUAAUCAUCUCAAGUGGCCUUAAGUAGCCUAUAAUAAACUUGAGCACUCGCUAAAGAUACUAUUUCCUUCCAUAUUUCCUACAACUACACAUAGAUAUAUCAUUUUGUGUUGUUUUAGGGGAAGAAAUUAGGACAUUUGUUUUUCCAGAUAUUGCAACUAGCUGUUGUACUUCAAUGGGGGAUUUUGUUUAUAAUUUUGUUGUCACCAUUUCUAUUAAGCCUCUAAAUAGAAGAAGAAAAAAUAGUUAAUUUCUGUGUUGAAAGAGAAAGAAAUUAAAUUAAAUUAAAAUAGAGAGAGUAUAGGAAUUUUGUGAUAUUUUCAUCAGGUUUUCAUGAGCUAUAUAUAAUGUGGUGUCAGCGCUAUAUCAAUAUGGGAGAGAGCACCAUUUCACUCAAAAAAAAGAAAAAGAACUCUUAUAUAUAGUUUCAGAGAAACAACUUCAUAGAAGUACUGCACCAUGCCUAAUAAUUAGUUGAUAAACUUCAUAGUAGGUUUUCUAUAUAUUGGCUUAACUGUGACCAACUUAAUGAUGCUCUCACUGACUCUAAUCUACAUUGUAAUAUUACACUGUGAAUUCAAAUCUUUGGAACAGAUUCACAUAAGAGGCCAUCAAAAGCUGAACUCGAGUCUGAUGCACGAUCUGGGGGAAUGAACAAGGAAUAUCAGUCUCUGGGUUCAACUUGGUCCAGAUACACUAACUGGUUCUGCAGGAGCUGAUGCUCUUUUGAAUGGUUUGGAGGUUUCCAAGUUGAAUAGGAAUGGUAAACUUGCUUAUAAACGAAAAUAUGAGAAUAUUCCAGAAAAAUCAACUUCGAAAGACUUAAUCAUGUGGGUAGGAAUUAGAGUAAGUAUUGCAUCCAUUAUCAUUCUUGCAGAUUUAGUCAUGCUUAUUAUAUGGUUAUGUAGUAAAGAUGACAUAAAGAAAAGCUCACCUGGACGGAGGCCUUUAUUCCUUCAUGCAGCUGUUGUAACCAACACUCUACUGGACUACAGGGAAUUCAUAAGCUACAUUUGCAAAGCUUACAAAGGAACUGUGCCAAUCCCCGGUUGCAGCUCAUCUUAUUCUAUAAGUUCAACUAGUACAUCAUUUGUUGAACAAAGAGUUACGCAGGCUGCAUCUGCAUAAUCCAAAGGCUUCUCUAUAUCGUGUGGCGCGCGCAUCAACGAUAUAAUAGAGCUCCUUGAUGCUGGUUAUGUUUUAUGAAAUGAUGAUUUAUGGUUAUUUUCCAUGAUAGGUUUUUGUGAUGAACAAUAUGAAAAGAUUUUGGUCUCUUCCUAAGUUUAGAAUUUGGGGAUUGGAUAAGCCAUCUUUUUGGCAUUGAUUGUGUUAUUUGUGUUUUAGCUAUGCAAAAAUACGUUCCGUUGAUUAAA